rnacentral:rRNA from 1 species
GAUGAACGCUAGCUACAGGCUUAACACAUGCAAGUCGAGGGGCAGCACAGUGUAGCAAUACACGGGUGGCGACCGGCGCACGGGUGCGUAACACGUAUCCAAUCUGCCCGUUACUCGGGGAUAGCCUUCUGAAAGGAAGAUUAAUACCCGAUGGCAUGUAUUUCAGGCAUCGGAGAUGCAUUAAAGAUUUAUCGGUAACGGAUGAGGAUAGCGUACGAUUAGCUAGUUGGCGGGGUAACGGCCCACCAAGGCGACGAUCGUUAGGGGUUCUGCAAGUAAGGUCGCCCACACUGUAAAUGAGACACGGUCCAGACUCCUACGGGAGGCAGUAGUGAGGAAUAUUGGUCAAUGGUCGAGAGACUGAACCAGCCAAGUAGCGUGAAGGAUGACUGCCCUACGGGUUGUAAACUUCUUUUGUUUGGGAAUAAAGUGAGGCACGUGUGCCUUUUUGUAUGUACCUUACGAAUAAGCAUCGGCUAAUUCCGUGCCAGCCGCCGCGGUAAUAC